rnacentral:rRNA from 1 species
CCUACGGGAGGCAGCAGUGGGGAAUAUUGCGCAAUGGGCGAAAGCCUGACGCAGCGACGCCGCGUGAGGGAUGAAGGUCUUCGGAUCGUAAACCUCUGUCAGUAGGGAAGAACGGUCACUGUGCUAAUCAGCAGUGAAUUGACGGUACCUGCAAAGGUAGCACCGGCCAACUCCGUGCCAGUAGCUGCGGUAAUACGGAGGGUGCGAGCGUUAAUCGGAAUUACUGGGUUUAAAGGGUGCGUAGGCUGUGAGGUAAGUCAGCGGUGAAAUGCCCCCGCUCAACGGGGUGAAGUGCCAUUGAUACUGGUUUGCUGGAAUGCGGAUGCCGUGGGAGGAAUGUGUGGUGUAGCGGUGAAAUGCAUAGAUAUCACACAGAACACCGAUUGCGAAGGCAUCUCACGAAUCCGCGAUUGACGCUGAUGCACGAAAGCGUGGGUAUCAAACAGGAUUAGAUACCCUUGUAGUC